UCAAGAAACUUCCACAAUGGGCGAAAGCCUGAUGGGGCGACGUCGCGUGAUGGACGAAGUGCUUCGGCACGUAAACAUCUUUUAUGUGGGAUGAAAUUAUUGACAGUACCACAUGAAUAAGGGGCUCCUAACUCUGUGCCAGCAGGAGCGGUAAUACAGAGGCCCCAAGCGUUAUCCGGAAUCACUGGGCGUAAAGGGUGUCGAGGCGGUUGUAUUAGUCGUUCGUAAAAUCUACGAGCUUAACUUGUAGGCGGCGAACGAAACGGUACGACUUGAGGUUUGGAGAGGUGCGUGGAACUCACGGUGUAGGGGUGAAAUCCGUUGAUAUCGUGGGGAACACCAAAGGCGAAGGCAGCGCACUGGCCAAAAUCUGACGCUCACACACGAAAGCUAGGGUAGCGAAGAGGAUUAGAUACCCCCGUAGUCCCUGAGCGGGCUGGCAAGGCGCAU
rnacentral:rRNA from 1 species